UUUUUGGCGCCGUUGUCGGGGACUCGAGGUUUACUUUUUCUAGUAGUGUGGAUUGAUUGAAUUUGACUUGGUUGUAAUUAUUUUUGUUUUAUUUUUUUUAAUUGCGUUUUAUUUUAUAUUUCUGUAAAAGUGCUUUUAGGGUGUGUUUCUUGUGUAUGCAGGAAGCAAUACAUACUAGAAGCAGAAAAGACCAGCAACCUCUCUUAGAAGGUUUACCAGAAGGGAGGAGAAGGAGACGUCCUUCACGUGAGA
rnacentral:lncRNA from 1 species